GCGAGAGUGGCGGAACUGGUAGACGCGCUGGACUUAGGAUCCAGUGGAUUCCUCCAUAGGGGUUCGAGUCCCCUCUCUCGCACCA
rnacentral:tRNA from 1 species